rnacentral:lncRNA from 1 species
GACUAUAGCAGUGACCUAUUUACGUGUUAAACGUCGAUACGCGCGAACCAUCGAUAUACUUGGAUGCAUAGCAAAUUAUCCUGACUGAUUCUUUGCUUCUUCUCAAUGCCAUGUUGUUUCCUCUAGAGGAAGGGUGCAGUUGCCGUUCUCUCUCUACCGUGCCCAAGGCCGACACUGGAACCCAUGAAUCGUUGGACCUCUGUUGUCAGUACCAGCGUCUAAGGUGAUAUGCGGCUCACAGGGAGAUGCUCCUGACUGCGGUAGAGCAUCGCUGGCGCUACACGCAGCGCCCAGUGUUGUCCGUAGAAGUUCUGCUCAACCGCCUUUCUCACACGACCAACAAAAUGCGGCGUUAGACAUCACAGGAGUGACGAUGUUACGUAAGAUUCGAAUGUCGUGCGGGGCUCGCCCCCUUACUUCUACCGAUCACUGUGUAAAGGUAGGUUUCCACCAUCGAUUCAUCGUACGAUCUUACGAUCGCUGACAAAUAAUGUGGAGACUAAGGUUGUACAGACAUGGUGCAGUUGACCACCGGCUGGAACGUCAAUCUAUCUGGCUGCAUCCUUCCGCGCCAACGCUUCCUGAUUUUCAAGUCUGUUGAUUUUCAAAGAAAAUAAUUUAAGGACUUGAGAGAGGCGUGCGCAGAGCAUCAACAACAAUGGCAGCCUGCAAAACGCAGCGGACAGCCCCAGAUGGUGUGAAAGGCCAGAAUUCUGGCCAGCGUAUCGAGACUGUGCUCGAAGAGGUUCUUCACUCAUGAUUUCGACCUUCGCAUGUGUCUGUCCUCGUGCAACAGUCCCUGUCCACGUGCCUGACUUAUCCCUGUCACUCACCUCUUUCGGGUCACGGACAGCUACGCGUAUGUAUGUUGGCCUCUGGUAGCCGUGUGCUCCCCAACGUAUUGGCACACCUCUUGUCCUGCAUGUUUCCACGUAGAAGCGUGCGGCGUUGGAACAUUUCGUGUCAAUCCAUACGAACGGCAGCCACCUGCAAAAACAAUCCACAAAGCAAUUCGCC